UUGUCUAUUUUUGAGAAGAAAAUCUGAGAAAGAAGGGUUUUGAAAGUAGAAGAAGCUGGACGGAAGGUGACGCUGUCUAAAUACUCUCCGACCAACGGGUUAGGCGUCUUGAAGACACUCUUCUCCGGCUAGCGGCUCGCUAGCGUGCCUCAUUCCAGGUAUUGUGUUGGGUCCAUGGCUGAUUCAGCUUCGACGAAUGCGAAUGUGAUUCAGUUGGUAGAGGAUGUUGUGCGUAACUACCGAUUUGAUACUAUUUGUGUAAUACUAAUUGCACUUCGCUCACAGUCAAAGGAUUCCCCCUGCCAGGGUUAGUGGAUGGUGGACCAGAACCAAAUUCACCUGGAAUGUUGCCCGUAUCUCGACCCUCAUCACCGGUGGCUCGGUCCUUUCCAAACACAAUCUUCCAGUCAUUGUAGAGCGGCCAUGUCUUAUUACGUAGUAAGCGAGCACUAUUGUCAGCUUGUCAAAAGGAUAAAUAAAUUAGCAACAGGGGAUGAGUGAGUGUAGGGACUAGUGAAAGAGCUCCAUAUGCUUUCUUCCAAAUGUGGAUCUUGGAUUGGAUAUGUGGAUCAGCUCUCAAAUCGCUCCGAGGGAACUCCUGACGCAAUGAAUCUUCGCACUUCUGAAGGUAACCGUGUAUAAAACCGUUGUCGGACUUCCAGCCUGUCGCGACCAGUUCCUUCAGUGUGGCGAGUAAAUAUGCCUCCUCUCGGUCGGUCCAACUGCGGCGUGUGCGGUCAGUUUUGUUCUUUUUCCGUCCUACACCGUCAACAAAAGCUAUAACUAGGAUGCACAAGGUAAACGGUACACAACAUCGCCCAACAUACCUCAUUUUGUACACAAAACAUACAUGGAUGUGAAGAAAAUAUACUCACCUUGGU